CUGUAAAGGAAGAGAAUCGAGCAAUGAUCCAUUUUAUCUUUUCAACUAAAGUGUUAAUUAAGAUGUUGACUUUCUCUUUGGCAUGAGUUGUAAAAAGUAAGAUAUGUUUAGUAUGUGAAUAGUGUCCGUAAUGUUGGCCUGUUACUGAGUACGAGCAGAGCAUCCUCUCAGUGGAGAAGAAAAUAGUGCAGGAUGGAGGAUUAGUCUUUUCAGUUAUUGUCUGCUCUCUGUCUUAUUGUUUCAUUUAUAUUAUUUUCACGUUAGAUCUUAUGUUAAGAUGCCUUAAAUCAUUUUAUGUGUAGUCAUUUAUUUUCAGUGUUAGAUUAUUAUUUUACUCUGUUUACUUUUGUACUAGAAUAUACUUCCUCAUGGAGGGUUUACUUUGCUUUCACUGCUUCGUAAGGUUUUGGACCAGCAGUAGAGCCGAUGUUGUGAAUGAAUAAAGUGUUCCCGGUCUCAACCACAAUCCAGAA